GGAUUGAUGAUGACUGCUAUCUAAACAUUCCUUGGAAAAGCUGAACAAAAUGAGUGAAAACUCCUUACCGUCUCACUCAUUGAACUGAGGUCC
rnacentral:snoRNA from 12 species